rnacentral:rRNA from 1 species
UACGUAGGGCGCAAGCGUUUAUCCGGAAUUAUUUGGGCGUAAAGAGCUCGUAGGCGGUUUGUCGCGUCUGCUGUGAAAGACCGGGGCUCAACUCCGGUUCUGCAGUGGGUACGGGCAGACUAGAGUGCAGUAGGGGAGACUGGAAUUCCUGGUGUAGCGGUGAAAUGCGCAGAUAUCAGGAGGAACACCAGUGGCGAAGGCGGCUCUCUGGACAGGUACUGACGCUGAGACGCGAAAGCGUGGGAGCAAACAGG